CGAACGCUGGCGGCGUGCUUAACACAUGCAAGUCGAACGGUAACAGGGACUUCGGUCCGCUGACGAGUGGCGCACGGGUGAGUAACACGUGGGUAUCUACCUUUUAGUGGGGGACAACUUGGAGAAAUCCAAGCUAAUACCGCAUACGCUCUACGGAGGAAAGUGGGGGAUCUUCGGACCUCACGCUAAAAGAUGGGCCCGCGCCUGAUUAGCUAGUUGGUAAGGUAAUGGCUUACCAAGGCGAUGAUCAGUAUCUGGUUUGAGAGGAUGAUCAGACACACUGGAACUGAGACACGGUCCAGACUUCUACGGAAGGCAGCAGUGGGGAAUAUUGCACAAUGGGGGAAACCCUGAUGCAGCGACGCCGCGUGCGGGAAGAAGGCCUUAGGGUUGUAAACCGCUUUCAGUUGGGAAGAAGGAAUGAGAGUUAAUAGCUCUUUGACUUGACGGUACCAACAGAAGAAGCACCGGCUAAUUUC
rnacentral:rRNA from 1 species